UCAUAUGCUUGUCUCAAAGAUUAAGCCAUGCAUGUCWAAGUACAAAUCCUUGAACGGUAAAACCGCGAAUGGCUCAUUAAAUCAGCUAUGAUUUAUUAGAUUCUAAAGAAUCUACAAGGACAACUGUAGCAAUUCUAGAGCUAAUACCUGCCAAUUAUGCCUGGACCUCACGGGAAAGGGUGGCUUUAUUAGAACAAAUCAACCAGGGCUCGUCCUGAAGAUUCUGUUGACUCUUGAUAACGUUACAGAUCGCACGACCUUGUGUCAGCGACACGUCUUUCAAAUGUCUGACCUAUCAGCUUUUGACGGUAGGAUAGAGGCCUACCGUGGCUAUAACGGGUAACGGGGAAUCAGGGUUCGAUUCCGGAGAGGGAGCCUGAGAAACGGCUACUACAUCCAAGGAUGGCAGCAGGCGCGCAAAUUACUCACUCCGGCACGGGGAAGUAGUGACAAGAAAUAACAAUACGAGGCUCAACAGAGUCUUCGUAAUUGGAAUGAGCUCAGCUUAAAUACUUUUACAAGUAUCAAUUGGAGGGCAAGUCUGGUGCCAGCAGCCGCGGUAAUUCCAGCUCCAAUAGCGUAUAUUAAAGUUGUUGCAGUUAAAAAGCUCGUAGUUGAAUUCAAAACGUGGACAAACUGGUUCAUCUUUCUGGUGAAACUGGUUGUCUUGUUUACAUCGUCGUGAACUUUAGAUGAUCUUAAUCGGUUGUCUCUAGUAAUCGGCAUGUUUACUUUGAAAAAAUUGGAGUGCUCAAAGCAGCUAAUGCCUGAACAGUGGUGCAUGGAAUAAUGGAAUAAGACUUCGGUCUUAUUNUUGUUGGUUUUAGAGAUCGAUGUAAUGAUUAAAAGGGACUGCCGGGGGCAUCUGUAUAACASGGUUAGAGGUGAAAUUCUUAGAUCCUUGGUAGACAAACAACUGCGAAAVAUUUUGYYCAAGAAUGUUUUCAUUAAUCAAGAACGAAAGUCAGAGGUUCGAAGACGAUCAGAUACCGUCCUAGUUCUGACCAUAAACUAUACCAUCUGGUAAUCUGUGGCGGUAAUUUCAUUAACUCCACAGGCAGCCCCCGGAAAACCAAAGACUUUGGGUUCCGGGGGUAGUAUGGUUGCAAAGCUGAAACUUAAAGGAAUUGACGGAAGGGCACCACCAGGAGUGGAGCCUGCGCUUAAAUUUGACUCAACACGGGAAAACUCACCCGGCCCGGACACUGGGAUGAUUAACAGAUUGAAAGCUCUUYUUUGAUUCGGUGGAUGGUGGUGCAUGGCCGUUCUUAGUUGGUGGAUCGAUUUGUCUGGUUAAUUCCGAUAACGANCGAGAUUCUGGUCUGUUAAAUAGUACACUUGUAUUUAAUGCAAGUGCUGGCUUCUUAGAGAGAUAGCCGUUUUUGAAACGAAUGAAAAAGAGCAAUAACAGGUCUGUGAUGCCCUUAGAUGUCCGGGGCCGCACGCGCGCUNACNAAUUGAUGUAUCNAGCGAGUUUGCCNCUGUCCGAAAGRVNNNGUHWAAANACUGGUGAAANUACGUCAAUGACCGGGUUUAUGGAUUGGAAUUAUCCAUAUAAACGAGGAAUUCCCAGUAAGUGCACGUCAUCAGCGUGCACUGAUUACGUCCCUGCCCUUUGUACACACCGCCCGUCGCUACUACCGAUUGAAUGGUUUAGUGAGGUUAUCGGANYUUGCCUUUGUGAUGUGGCACACAUUACUCAUGCGGAMAAGAUAAUCGAACUUGAUCAUUUAGAGGAAGUAA
rnacentral:rRNA from 1 species